GGAGGGUGCAAACGUUGUUCGGAAUUACUGGGCAUAAAGCGCACGUAGGCGGUCCGCUCAGUCAGGUGUGAAAGCCCUCGGCUCAACCGAGGAAAUGCACUUGAUACUGGCGGGCUAGAGAACGGUAGGGGUGAGCGGAACUCCAGGUGGAGCGGUGAAAUGCGUAGAUAUCUGGAGGAACACCGGUGGCGAAAGCGGCUCACUGGACCGUAACUGACGCUGAGGUGCGAAAGCCAGGGGAGCAAACGGGGGAUUAGAUACCCCGGUAGUCCUGGCCGUAAACGAUGGGCACUAGGCAGGGGGAAAGCCCUAUGUUUUUCUCUGCCCGGAGCAAAUGUGUUAAGUGCCCCGCCUGGGGGAGUACGCUCGCAAGGGUA
rnacentral:rRNA from 1 species